rnacentral:rRNA from 1 species
AGCCUAAAGAAGAUAUUUUAGGUGUAAUCUGCUCAGUGUACUUAUAGUUUUAAUAAAUAGCCGCGGUACUUUGACCGUGCUAAGGUAGCAUAAUAAGUUGGCUUUUAAAUGGAGUCGGGAAUGAAUGAAAUAACGUAGCUAAGCUGUCUCAGAAUUAUUUUAUCGAAUUUACUGUGUAGAUGAAAAAGUCUAUUUACAAAAAAAAGACGAGAAGACCCUUAGAAUUUAAAUUAAAAAAGAAAUAUUUUCUAGGUAUUUUUGUUGGGGCGACAAGAAGACAAAACAUAACUCUUCUGACGAUACAAGACGAUUAGUAAUAAGAACGGUUAAAUUACCUAAGGGAUAACAGCAUAAUUUUAUGUUUAAGUUUGUGACCUCGAUGUUGGACUAGGAAAUUAAUAGACUAGCCGUUA